CCCGGGCCCCCUUUUAAGCUCUGCCCCAAGGCUCUUGUACUCCAGGUUCUCAGCCAAGCCUUUCCCCUCCCUCCAAGCAGACUAGCUGGGCUGCAGGCAGUUUUUCUCUCCCCCGGGCCUCACUCCAACCGAUCCGUCCGCUCCAGGCCAGCAGGCGCCGGCAGCACUUCUGCAAGUUACCGCAGCAGUAUCCAGACCAUUACAUGGACAGUGCGUGAUUCAGGACCAAGAGAGAUUUCCGGGAAAGAUGACUCGGCAGCUUUGUGUGGACAGUUUUUCCCAGCGGACCACCACUCCCCAUCUCUGUGAGGUCCAGGCCUCCUCUCCUGCCCUUUCCAUUGGAUGAGUCUGCAGCAGCCCCUGGGGACCGGACCACCUGCUUCAGGACCAUAGGACUCCUUUCGCCACAAGAGGUCAUGGUUCCCAACCUGCACUCACAGGCAUUGGGCGGUAACUUCUGCUUGGUGACACCCCAAAAUGGCCGACGUGAUUUCAUCUCCAAGUGAUAAUCAGUCCAACAGAAAGCUUCUUGGGUAAUAAAGGCUGAGGAAUAGCUACAAAAUAAAUGUGACUGGAGCAACCCACUUUCCAGUCCACUUUCUGUCUCGCUCAGACAGAAC
rnacentral:lncRNA from 1 species